rnacentral:sRNA from 1 species
UUGUAGUCACCUGAAU